GGAAGUGAUGGACCCAGACAACAAUCAGAACCAAAGCACCAGAUGAGCCACCUCAGCCACGUGAGCCAUGCCAGCCACCCUACCUGUGACCCCAUCUGUGGCCCCAGUUAUCAUGGAGUAGAGCCCUUUCUCUGUCUACAAAACCAACUUCCUCGCCCAGCUCAUGGGAACACUUAUUCUGUUGUAUAGAAUGAAGUGUUGCUUGAUUCUAGAAUCGACAAGGCUCAUCCCAGGAGGAUCCAUGAUGCUUUAUGAAGACAGUCCCAACAGCCCAUCUCUGUCAUCCUCCAGACGUGCCAAGGCUGAAUCAUGGAGCAAACACAGCACAGGCUCAAGCUGAGACCCUGCCAUGUGACCUCCUAGUUCUAUGAAAUACCCUUCAACAAUGCAGAAUUGACAAACCCUCCCAGAACCUGAUAUAGAUACACAUAUUUAUUAUAUAAGUGUCUCAGUAAAGAAACAAUUUUCUGUAGUGCUUAGUAGCAGACUUCUGACUCCAUAAGAUGUUUCUAAGUAAAGGUUUCUUGGUCAAGGAAUUUGGAAAAUGCUCAUAGUGUAUAUGAUUCUAGGAGACUUUGGAAACACAUUAGUGCAUUCGGAAGCCCUGCAGUAGUCUGCCGCAUGACUUAUUCCAGCUUAUCCCUACAUUAUGGAAUGCUUUUGUCACUGAAUACCUUCAGAACGCAUUUUGGGAAAACUUUUAUAUAUUCGUGGCAACCCUGGAGAAAAAACUUAGAGGUAAAGUUCCCUCUCCGAGAGGCCAUAAUAAAUGUGAAAGUGUGGAAAAGAGCCCUCAUCCUCCACCUCCAAGGCUGGUGUUCUUGCCAGGAUACCAUCCUAUCAGUUCUUUCUAAAACUCUCCUGUCCCCAGUGCAAAUACUCUCAUCAUGACAAUGCCUCACUUCAGCAGGCCUUCUCAUGGAGCUGCAGGAGUUCUUUGCAAAGUCCCCCAGCCCUGGUCUAGGAAUUGGGAGUUGCCUCACAGAUGCUUUAUUGUUAUUACUGGUUACAUGUGUGAUAUGUAGCAUACAUAUCAACUACACCUUUAACCAAUAACUUUUACUUAUUUUUUAUUUGGAGAAUGAUAUAUGCUCAUUAAAGAAAAAUUGGGGAAAAAGUUGGUAAAUAAUGAAGAAGAAAAAUUCACUUCAACCUAGAAAUAGCCCAGUGAACAUGCUGGUGUCAAGGGUGUACAUACACAUAUACAUGUUUGCAUGUUUUGGGAACAAUUUGAAACAAUAUGCAUGUUUGUUACAGUUUUGGA
rnacentral:lncRNA from 1 species